AAAAAUAUUGAUUUUAUUCUGCCUCGUAUUGAAGCGGCGAAUUAAUGAUAUUUUAAAUUUUUUAUUAAUGUUGAUUCAAACUCUGUCCUUCCAUGCCACCAUAAAAACUAGUUCCGCAAUUUCAUCUGUCUCGGUUUUUUUUAUAUGUUCAGAUGUUUAUAAUAUUAUAAAUUUUUUAUUGCUUUU
rnacentral:sRNA from 1 species